rnacentral:rRNA from 1 species
GAGGGGUGCAAACGUUAUUCGGAUUUACUGGGCGUAAAGGGUGUGUAGACGGCAUAUUAAGUUCGUUGUUAAAUCUUCCGGCCUAACCGGAAGCUCGCGAUGAAAACUGAUAAGCUUGAGGAUGGAAGAGAGAAGUGGAAUUCUCGGAGUAGCGGUAAAAUGCGUAGAUCUCGAGAGGAACACCGAUGGCGAAGGCAGCUUCUUGGUCCAUUCCUGACGUUGAGACACGAAAGCGUGGGUAGCAAACAGGAUUAGAUACCCUGGUAGUCCACGCCGUAAACGAUGAUCACUGGAUGUUGGUUUCGCUUUGCGAAAUCGGUAUCGAAGCUAACGCGUUAAGUGAUCCGCCUGGGAAGUACGGUCGCAAGAUUA